rnacentral:rRNA from 1 species
UACGUAGGGGGCAAGCGUUGUCCGGAUUUAUUGGGCGUAAAGAGCGUGUAGGCGGUUUGGUAGGUCCGCUGUGAAAACUCGAGGCUCAACCUCGAGACGCCGGUGGAAACCAUCAGACUAGAGUCCGGAAGAGGAGAGCGGAAUUCCUGGUGUAGCGGUGGAAUGCGCAGAUAUCAGGAGGAACACCCGUGGCGAAGGCGGCUCUCUGGGACGGUACUGACACUGAGACGCGAAAGCGUGGGGAGCGAACAGG